rnacentral:rRNA from 1 species
UACUCGAGUGGCGAACGGGUGAGUAACACGUGGGUGAUCUGCCCUGCACUUCGGGGUAAGCUUGGGAAACUGGGUCUAAUACCGGAUAGGAGCCAUCUUUAGUGUGGUGGUUGGAAAGUUUUUUCGGUGUAGGAUGAGCUCGCGGCCUAUCAGCUUGUUGGUGGGGUAAUGGCCUACCAAGGCGGCGACGGGUAGCCGGCCUGAGAGGGUGUACGGCCACAUUGGGACUGAGAUACGGCCCAG